CCCACAACUAAAUGCCUUAAAACAACACAGGUCUCUGAUCUUACAGUUUCGGCAGGUCGGGGUGCAGGCGCGGCGGCCGGGUCCUCUGCUUCGGGCUCUGUCACAGGCACGGCGAGGUGUCGGUGGGGCUCCACUCGUCUCAACACGGAGAGGCAGGAUCCGCUACCCCGUUCGCUCAGAAGUGCAGGAGUCCCUUCUUCUGGCGGUGGUGGCCCUCCGUUCCCCACCACGGGACCCUUGUCCAGCAUGGCCGGUCGCUUUGGCAAAGUGAGCCUGCCGGGAAGUUUAUGGAAGACGUUGCAAAUCGACCACAGCACUUCUUUCUAGUGAGCCCCAAUACAGCCGCAGAAUCCAUCUCAACACUACAGUGGAACCAACCUCCAUCUGCCAGUUGGUGUUAGAACAUGAGCCAAGAUUGAUCUGCAAUUUCUCUUCUCAGCCCAUGGAGACAAGAAAACAGAAGGAGGAGAAAUUCAGACUCAGGCUCUGUGACCUGUCUCUGCUAUCAGUGAGUCCUGGGUCACCCUAGGAGUGCCACGGACAGGAGGCAGGGUGACUUCUCCAAACAAAUCUGCAUUAUUUUAUUACUUUCAUACCAGGAAAGAGGCUUCAUCUUCAAAACAAUGCACGCACGUCAUCGAUUAGGCUGGAAGAACUUGUUUGGCCAAAUUUAGAAGCCACAAGAAGGUCAAAGAAUAAAUUUAGAACUGAACUCUGAACCUUGAGGGCCCAUCGGUCACGGUUAACUUUUCCUGCCACCUUGAGUUGGAUUGGUUUCCCUCUGACUCCUGUGUCCACAGAAUUCCACCUAGGCCUGGCCCUUCUCCUUAUAAGCUGUGUGACUCUAGGAAUGUGUUUAGCCUCUCUGAGCCUUCCUUUCAUUAUCUUUUAAAGAAUGGAUUGGGGGGGGGUGGUUGGCAAU